UACGAAGGGGGCUAGCGUUGUUCGGAAUCACUGGGCGUAAAGGGCGCGUAGGCGGCUUUAUAAGUCGGGGGUGAAAGCCUGUGGCUCAACCACAGAAUUGCCUUCGAUACUGUAGAGCUUGAGACCGGAAGAGGUUAGUGGAACUGCGAGUGUAGAGGUGAAAUUCGUAGAUAUUCGCAAGAACACCAGUGGCGGAAGGCGGCUGACUGGUCCGGUUCUGACGCUGAGGCGCGAAAGCGUGGGGAGCAAACAGG
rnacentral:rRNA from 1 species